GACAGAGGUGCCGAGCGUUAGGCGGAAUCACUGGGCUUAAAGCGUGUGUAGGCGGAUGGGUAAGUACCUUGUGAAAUCCCACGGCUCAACCGUGGAACUGCUUGGUAUACUGCUUGUCUUGAGCCAUCUAGGGGCGACCGGAACAAACGGUGGAGUGGUGAAAUGCGUAGAUAUCGAGAGGAACACCUGCGGCGAAGGCGGGUUGCUGGGCCGACACUGACGCUGAUGCGCGAAAGCCAGGGGAGCGAACGGG
rnacentral:rRNA from 1 species